rnacentral:rRNA from 1 species
UUGCUCUUCAACGAGGAAUUCCUAGUAAGCGUAAGUCAUCAGCUUGCGUUGAUUACGUCCCUGCCCUUUGUACACACCGCCCGUCGCUACUACCGAUUGAAUGGGUCAGUGAGGCCUUCGGACGGGCCGGUGGAGGUCGGAAACGACCACCGCUGGCCUGAAAGUUGGUCAAACUUGCUCAUUUAGAGGAAGUAAAAGUCGUAACAAGGUUUCCGUAGGUGAACCUGCGGAAGGAUCAUUACCAGAUUCAAAACCAAAAGACAGUGGGGAGAGAGGCACCAGCGAUGGAGGACGCCGCCACAUUGGCGGGUUCCGUACCCCAGUGUUGGUCCAGGGCGGGCCAGCUGCGACGGUCUCAUCCGCAGUCCCUGCGUUUUGGCAGCAAGCCCCGAAUCGGGGUGGGAGCGGAUCGUGCAAUCAAUGCUCUGCAGCCACCCAUACGGGUUGGGUGAGCGCGCAGAGUAGACUAUUGCUGCGCUAAAGGAGACCCGUCGCGGCAGGUGGCGGACGGCACAUGCAGGACUGAUCCCAACCAUGUGUUGAUUCCCCUGGGGCCGGGGUUGUAGAAUACCCCGGCGACUCGCAGACGGCGUGUACCCUCGUCUGGCCCCCUCUCGCCAUUGUCCCAACCAAAACCCUCUGCGUACCCCUUCCCUGUUGCUUCCCCCGGGGCACUGGCUCCGGCCAGCCNGGGGGGAGAAACCAAGCAAAAACCCUUUUUCGCAAAAACAGACGUCUGAACAUCAAAAACAAAAAAGUUAAAACUUUCAACAACGGAUCUCUUGGUUCCCACAUCGAUGAAGAACGCAGCGAAAUGCGAUAAGUAAUGUGAAUUGCAGAAUUCAGUGAAUCAUCGAAUCUUUGAACGCACAUUGCGCCCUCUGGUAUUCCGGAGGGCAUGCCUGUUCGAGCGUCAUAAAUACCCCUCCCCCUCGGAUUGCUUUUGCGGUCCCUGGGGGGUUCUGGCAAUGUGGAUUCCCCGUGCUUUGAGGGCAUGCGGACGGGCUCCCAGUGCUGAAAGACAUAAUGUUCCCGGCCGAAACCGGUGAUUAGUUUCACUGGCAGGAUUCGUGGCAGGUAGACUGAGGGCGUCAACCGUGGAGUCAUGAGGGUAGAAACCUCCCCCUUUGCAAGUAACAUUGCUCUGGCAGUUAGAUCUGCAGGCCCGACGGUCUGGGGAUGGACCUCCCACUCGCAGGCGUCACGGCCACGAUAGCGGGCGUUAAACGGAAUCCGAUCCGCCUUCACGGGUGGUUGAAGAUCCUUGUGGGCUAGCAACCCCUAAACAUAUUUUGACCUCGGAUCAGGUAGGGAUACCCGCUGAACUUAAGCAUAUCAAUAAGCGGAGGA